rnacentral:rRNA from 1 species
GGACUACUGGGGUAUCUAAUCCUGUUUGCUCCCCACGCUUUCGUGACUCAGCGUCAGUUGUGGUCCAGUAAGCCGCCUUCGCCACUGGUGUUCCUCCUAAUAUCUACGCAUUUCACCGCUACACUAGGAAUUCCGCUUACCUCUCCCACACUCAAGUCUACCGGUUUCUCAUGCACUUCUUGGGUUAAGCCCAAGGAUUCCACAUGUGACCUAAUAAACCGCCUACUCACCCUUUACGCCCAGUAAUUCCGGAUAACGCUUGCCCCCUACGUAUUACCGCGGCUGCUGGCAC